UACGGAGGGAGCUAGCGUUGUUCGGAAUUACUGGGCGUAAAGCGCGCGUAGGCGGCUUUGUAAGUUAGAGGUGAAAGCCCGGAGCUCAACUCCGGAACUGCCUUUAAAACUGCAUCGCUUGAAUCCAGGAGAGGUGAGUGGAAUUCCGAGUGUAGAGGUGAAAUUCGUAGAUAUUCGGAAGAACACCAGUGGCGAAGGCGGCUCACUGGCCCGGUACUGACGCUGAGGUGGCGAAAGCG
rnacentral:rRNA from 1 species